GGGCUCUUGGCACAGUUGGUAGCGCGCACGCUUUGCAUCUUGGAUUGAAUGCGUGAGGUCGUGGGUUCAACUCCCACAGUGUCCA